AGUGGGCGUGCAGGAGAAGCUGUAGGUCAGGAGGUAGAGUUGGCAGUGGGCGUGCAGGAGAAGCUGUAGGUCGGAGAGGUAGAGUUGGCAGUGGGCGUGCAGGAGAAGCUGUAGGUCGGAGAGGUAGAGGUGGCAGUGGGCGUGCAGGAGAAGCUGUAGGUCGGAGAGGUAGAGGUGGCAGUGGGCGUGCAGGAGAAGCUGUAGGUCGGGGGGUAGAGGUGGCAGUGGGCGUGCAGGAGAACCUGUAGGUCAGGGGGUAGAGGUGGCAGUGGGCGUGCAGGAGAAGCUGUAGGUCAGGGGGUAGAGGUGGCAGUGGGCGUGCAGGAGAAGCUGUAGGUCAGGAGGUAGAGGUGGCAGUGGGCGUGCAGGAGAAGGUGUAGGUCAGGGGGUAGAGGUGGCAGUGGGCGUGCAGGAGAAGCUGUAGGUCGGGAGGUAGAGGUGGCAGUGGGCGUGCAGGAGAAGCUGUAGGUC
rnacentral:lncRNA from 1 species